CUGACCUAAGACAGGGGAUUUUUAAUAGGAUUAAAUGUCAGGAAUUGUGAAAAACUGAGUUUAAAUGCAUUUGGCUAAGGUGUAUGUAAACUUCCAACUUCAACUGUGUGUUUGUUUCAAGUGACAAAUGAGGUACAUUCAUAGGUUUAAUUUAGUGUGAUAUGACCCAGAUGAAGAAUCUUUUUUAUGGAUAUACUGUAGGUACGGGCAGGUAUUGAAAUACAAUGUCAUGUAUUUUUUUUCUCUAUCCAUUCCAGCAUUUGAAGUAGUAUUUUACACUCAAAGUAUUCUGUUUUCUAUGUAUUUAUUGACUGAUGUUGUAUCUGUGCACUGAUUGUAUUUGUUAUUUUCAUUUGUGGUGUAACAUACAUGUAUAGGCCAAAAUGUAUAGGCCAAAUCAUAAUCUCAGCUGUGAAUUCCAUAUUCUGUAGGACACACUGAAUUUUUGGUAUUAUGUAUUAAACACAUUAAAUAUUUCACUUAACCAUCCAAAUAUAUUUUAACACCAAUAUGCAGUGUUGUGUAGUUGUGAACUACAUGUAGUUCAACAAGUAAUUCAACUACAUUUUGCAGUAGCUUGGUGGUAGUUGAACUAAAUUAAAAUCUAGGUAGUGUUUUCAGUAGUUAAUGACAUUCUUUGCCAUGUAGUAGUGUAGUUAACUGCUAGAAGUAAACACUACUCUUUUUGCAAAAAUAAAAUAAAAUAUGGGGGAGGUAGGCAAACAUUUACUUUCUUUUUCGGACCUCAGACCUGCCUAAUUCUCACUUGAAACAUAGUUUUUGUGUUUAAUAGGCUAAAUUACAUACUCUGUUAACAUAUGACCCCAAUGUGAUCUGUUCUUGCAAUUUGUAAUCUAUGACAUUUCAGACUUGCAUAUCGUAAUUUUCACGAUUUGGAUGUAGAAAACUACUUUUUCAAAGUAACUUGGGCUCACGAGUGGCGCAACGGUCUAAGGCACUGCAUCUCAGUGCUAGAGGCUUCAUUACAGACCUUGGUUUGAUUCCAGGCUGUACCACAACUGGCCGUGAUUGGGAGUCCCAUAGGCGGCGCAGAAUUGGCCCAGGUUCGGGUUUGGCUGGGGUAGGCCAUCAUUGUAAAUAAGAAUUUGUUCUUAUCUGACUUGCCUCGUUAAAAAUAAAAGUUAAGUACUAGAUUUGUGCUAGACGUGUGCUCCUAGAUUUUUCUCCAGGGUAGAUUUAGUGUAGCUUAACUUCUUCCAGUGUGAAGUAAUUGGUAGCUUGGUAAACUACUGUCUAUUUUCAGAGUAGCUUCACUAACACUGUCUACACUCACCCAAAAAAUCUUGUUAAUGUGAAAGUGUGUCACAACGUGGAUACUAAUUGUGCAGGAGAAGACUAUUGUUUUUACACAAAUUAAUUCACUGGUUGUUUCAUUUAUGAUUUUUGUUGAAUAAAAAGAGGCUACCAGA